rnacentral:lncRNA from 1 species
UCCUUUUGCAGCCACACUUUUGAAGGACCUGGAAGCAUUUAGCUAUAACCGACAAUUCCAUCCGAUGAAGGUUCUUAAACUUCAAAAGCAAACUUGUAACCAUGUUUCGUUUUGAAACCAGCUGAAUUUUCAAUAUUAUUUUUUUAAAAGAAGGUUUUGUCCAUAUCAUCAAAGUCAAUUAUUCAGCCUUAAAGGAAAACAUUAAAAUGUUACUUUACAUUUUGCCACCAUUUAGCAUUAUACCUUGAUAUCUUAAUUAGGCUGAGCGGUGUUAAAAGGGAAAAAAUAGGAAAAGUUUAAAAAAAUAUAGGUUAACAAAUUCAAAAAUAGAAGACAAAAUAUACGAGUUUAUAUUGAUAGCAGAAAAUAUAUUUACACAAUUGUCAUUUCAUGUCAUAUAAAGAGUAUAUUCUUCUUCUUUUUUGUAGCUGUGCAUUUAUUUCCUUGCAUUCAUAAUUGUAACUUUGGAUAAGACAUUGGAAUUUCAAUUUAGUUACAGUCUUCAUGUAAAUUGUUCAAUUCUAUUAGUGAAUAGCAACGUAAUUUUUUUCACUGCAUACAAUGAUAACGUUUUAGGAGAUAUAGUCUUCUGUCUCUCUAGAGCAAGAACAUAUUAAGUGUGAUAUAGUAAUUGCAUUUGUAUUUAUGUACAGUCCCUGUGUCAAAGAUGGAUAAGAAAAUGCCAGCUUCUGAAUGCAAAAGUAUUAGACCUGGAGCAGCUGCAGAAACGAAAACAAAUAGAAAAACGUAUGAGACAAGCGAGAAAGAAGGAGGUAAGACUGAUCCUAAAAUGCAUACUAAUCCAACAGAUUAUAUGAAUCUGGAAGAGCUAUCGACCUCAAAGUCGUAAAUAGUUACCUAGGGAAGUGUGUAACGAAGGA